AUCCAACUGGCCAAGGUGUGUCCGAGUGGGAGGGCGGAGGGAUUGAGCAGGUUGGAAUGGUUUACCAGGACCCUAAAACCCGCUGGGAUUUUGUGUACCAACUUGUCGAGACUGUUCAGCUCAUGUAUUUGCACGUUCACGUCUACCAAGAGAUGUUCAAACUAUUCGUCAUGUACGGAGAAAAGGCAAAGUACCCAAAGCGAAGUGAGCUCACAGACCUCCCUGGACUAUCGAGUGCGAGGAGAAAGAUGGACAGAGAAGCGUACAAAUAAUAUCUGGAAGCUGUCCAUAGGAGGGGGGUACUGUCACGGUGCGGGCUCAAACUCGCUUUUCCCCGGCAGCUGGGUCUACUAGCACCCCCACUGGCAGCGCGCCGAGACACGCCCCUGCUCGCGCUGGCCUCGUCACACAUGCUGGCAAGGCUGUGGGCGAUCGGCAAUCUGCACACUUGGACUGAUGAGGGCGAGCUGU